GCCGCAAAAAACACGGUCUAAGACCUGUUUAGAAAAUCGUUUCUUCCAACCUAUUGAUUUGUUUAUUGAAUGAUGGAAAGGUGUGCAUUCUCGCGGGGGUUUAAUUAGAGAGGGAGGGGUUAUCUUAGCAUAAAAGUGUCUCUCUGGGGUUCAGACGUUUAUGUUUUUAGGAGAAGCAGUAGUUGGAAUUAGGUCCUUGGUGUUGGGGUACAGUAUUUCUUGUUAAGGGAUGGUGGUAGCCACUCUCCCUGAAGUUGUUCUUACCAGUUAAAAAGUCCAUCUUUUUAAAGUUUACUAUAGUCAGGAUACGACCUUGACCUUUAAAGCCACUAUUUUUUUUUUGUUUAAACCUGACAGUUCCUGAGCCAAAACUCUUAGCAGGGAACUUUCACAUAAUAAAAUGGGUAACAAAAGAGAAAUGUUGACUGCAAAGAAGCAUCAGUGCAGAUAAAACAACAUCCAGCUUAAUAGACAUGGAUUCUCCAAAUCAAUUAAUGAUCUGGCUUCAGAAAAUUCCUAUAAAGGGGUUUGCAACAUUUUACAGAGCUUUGUGCUAUCUGUAGUCUGGAUUAGAAGUGCCAAACUACCCGGAACUGUUUUAACUUCAAAUCUGCUGUUAAUUAGAUUGGCUUAAUUAUUGGCUUUCAAUUGGACCAACUUAUCAAGACCUCCAAGCGUUUGUAGUGCUGGAAAAAAAUGAAGAGAUGCUGGACCACCCUGCUGUAGAUAAAUUCAGAAAAUAAACUCACAGUAUCGUGGCGAGCAGCGCACUCUACUGAUGAGACAAGCACACUGCACGUGAAAUGACUUCAAUGUGCCGCAGCCUCUGAACAACAUUACAAAGCCUACGCAUGCUGACGCAGCUACCCAGCUGAAAUAGUAAAAUACUUGGUGUCAUAGCACGAUUCAGCUGCAUACAACAGUACACAUUCGGAUUGCACGUUUGUCGAGCUGCAACAAAUACAAUCCAGUGUAGCUGAUGUUUUACUAAACAACAUUGGCAUGUACUGUAAGUGACUGUGAUUUCCAAAGUCUCUGACUGUGUAUUUAGUCUUUAAAGAUUAAUGGGCAAAUUUAAAGGGGAAUGUUUGAACCUUGUCUUUAACCUUGGAUAAGAGGGUCUACAGUACGUGCGCUGCUUUUGGUGCUCUGUUGUAGAAACUAGUGCUGGACCUCUUUCAAAUAUAUGAAGCCAAGGCCAUUUAAUUAAAAUUACAGGAAACUGGA